GUGGUGUUUGGAUCGUCCCUGCCGGCUGGCUCCGUGCCCGUCCACCGAACGGUCAGCAGGCGAUCCGUGUCGGUCGCGCGGGGUGGUAUGGUUCCCCCAGAGGCCGGUUCUUGUGCUGCCUACCCGUUCAGGGGAAGCGGGCCAAUUGUUGUGAUCCUCCAUCCGGCGCCUUCCGAAAAGGGCGCCGGAGGACAACGGAGCACCCCCCGCGUUCCACCAAGCCUUCGUCGGUCGCGUGGCCCGCGGGGACGUGCGAUGCUCUCGGACCCAGCGAACGCCGUGGGCGAGGACUGACGUCCCCGUCCCGAAAGAAGCUCCGACAUAACGCUGACGGCCGCUCCCUCCCCCCGACCGCCCCGGCGGCGCGAGGGUGAGGCGCGGCGUCGCGGAGGAAUGCUACCU
rnacentral:misc_RNA from 1 species